rnacentral:rRNA from 1 species
CAGUAGCCACGGUAAUACGUAGGUGGCAAGCGUUGUCCGGAAUUAUUGGGCGUAAAGGGCUCGCAGGCGGUUUCUUAAGUCUGAUGUGAAAGCCCCCGGCUCAACCGGGGAGGGUCAUUGGAAACUGGGAAACUUGAGUGCAGAAGAGGAGAGUGGAAUUCCACGUGUAGCGGUGAAAUGCGUAGAGAUGUGGAGGAACACCAGUGGCGAAGGCGACUCCCUGGUCUGUAACUGACGCUGAGGAGCGAAAGCGUGGGGAGCGAACAGGAUUAGAUACCCGUGUAGUCCCUGUCUCUUUACA